rnacentral:lncRNA from 1 species
GCCUGGGGGGCAGAGCUUUCUGUAUUUAAAUGAGGUGGGCGUGGCCUAACCCAAUUUCCUUUCAGCCGCCGCCUUGGCCACGCCCACCCCGGUGGUUGGCCCCGCCCCCUCGGCCACGCCCACCCCAAAUUUGGGGAAGGGGGCGGGGCCAGCGCCGGCCCCGCCCGUCGCCGCCUUCGCGCUGCCCCAGCGGCUCCUGCUGGCCCCGGACAUGCAGGCCCGGCUGCCCUCGGGCGAGCUCGUCAGCCUGGGCGCUCUGGCCGCGCUGGCCCCGCCCCGCCCCGCCCCCCCCGCCGCGGGGGGCGUGGCCAAACCCGCGGGGCCCCUCCCCCCUCCGGCCCCGCCCCCCGCGCAGGCCCCGCCCCCUCUGACGUUGCAGCUGCAGGGCGGGAAAGUGACGCUCGGCCCCGCCCCCCCAUUACGUCACCUGGCGCUGGCCCCGCCCCCCGCGCGCGGAUUGGCCCGUGAGUAACAGAGGGGGCGGGGCCACAGCGGGGGGCGGGGGGGUGGGGGAAUUUGGGGGAAUUUUGGGGGGAUUUUGGGGGUUUUAGGGAAAUUUGAGAUUUUUUGGGGGAAUUUAAGGGGGAUUUUGGGGGAUUUUGGGGGGAUUUUAGGGAGAAAUUUGGGAAUUUUGGGGAAUUUGGGGGGGAAAUUUGGGAUUUUGGGGGUUUUGGAACAAUUUUGGGAUUUUUUGGGGAAUUUAAGGGGAAAUUUGGGAGGAUUUGGUGGGAAAUUUUGGGAAAAAUUUGGGGGCAAUUGGGGAUUUUGGGAGGAAUUUGGGGAUUUUGGGGGGAUUUUAGGGGAUUUUGGGGGGAUUUUGGGGGAAUUUUGGGAGGAUUUGGGAAGAAAUUUGGGAAUUUUGGGGAAUUUGGGGGGAAUUUGGGGGAAAUUUGGAAUAUUUUGGGGGAAAUUCGGGGGGAAUGUCGGGAAAAAUUUGGUGAUUUUGGGGGGAAUUGGGGAUUUUGGGGGGGAUUUUGGGGGAUUUUUGGGAAAUUGGGGAUUUUGGGGGCUUUUGGGGGAAUUUUGGGGGGAAAUUUGGGGGGAAUGUGGGGAGAAAUUUGGGGAUUUUGGGAUGAGUUUUGGGAAUUCUUGGGAAGAUUUUUGGGAGGAUUUGGGGGGGAUGUGAGGAAAUUUUGGGGGGAAAUUUGGGGAAAUUGGGGAUUUUGGGGGGAUUUGGGGUAAAUUUGGGAGGAUUUGGGGAUUUUGGGUGAGAUUUUGGGGGAAAUUUUUGAGAUUUUAAGGAAAUCUGGGAUUUUUUUGGAAUUUAAGGAGAAAUUUUGGAGGGGAAUUUGAGAGGAUUUGGGGAUUUUGGGGGGUAUUUUGGGGAGAAAUUCGGUAAUUUGGGGGAUUUGGGGAGAAAAUUUGGCAAUUUUAAGGGGAUUUUGGGGGAAUUCAGGAGGGAAUUUUGGGGAAAUUCGGGAUUUUUUGGGGAAUUUGGGGGAAUUUUGGGGGAAAUUGGGGAUUUGGGGGGAUUUUGGGGGGAAUUCGGGAGAUUUUGGGGGGAUUUGGGGGGAAUUUUGAGGGAUUUGGGGGGAAUUUGGGGAAAUUUGGUGGAUUUUGGGGGGAAUUUGGGAAUUUGGGGGAUUUUUGGAGAUUUUGGGGGAAUUUUGGGAGAUUUUGGGGGAAUUCGGGAGAUUUUGGGGGAAUUUUGGGAUUUUUUGGGGAAUUUGGGGGAAAAUUUGGGGGAAAUUUUGGGAGGAAUUGGGGGGAAUGUUGAGAAAAAUUUGGGGAUUAUGGGGGGAU